rnacentral:rRNA from 1 species
GACGAACCGUGCGAACGUUGUUCGGAAUCACUGGGCUUAAAGGGCGCGUAGGCGGGCUGCCAAGUCCGUAGGUGAAAUCCCCCGGCUCAACCGGGGAACGGCCUCGGAUACUGGCGGCCUGGAGGGGGGUAGGGGCGUGCGGAACUGUGGGUGGAGCGGUGAAAUGCGUUGAGAUCCACAGGAACUCCGGUGGCGAAGGCGGCACGCUGGACCCUUUCUGACGCUGAGGCGCGAAAGCGUGGGGAGCAAACAGG